CGGCUCAUCACAUCCUGGGGCUGGAGAAGGUCCCAAGGGUUUGGCUGUUCGCCAAUUAAAGUGGUACGCGAGCUGGGUUCAAACCGUCGUGAGACAGGUUGGUCUCCUAUCUGCUGUAGGCGUUUAUUGCUUGAGAGGAUUCUUUCCUAGUACGAGAGGACCGGAAAGAACAAACCUCUGGUGUACCAGCUGUGGCGCCAGCCGCAUUGCUGGGUAGCUAAGUUUGGAAGGGAUAACCGCUGAAAGCAUAUAAGCGGGAAGCCCACCUCAAGAUUAGGCA
rnacentral:rRNA from 1 species